GAUGAACGCUGGCGGCGUGCCUAAUACAUGCAAGUCGAGCGAACAUAUGAGGAUCUUGCUCCUCUGACGUUAGCGGCGGACGGGUGAGUAACACGUGGAUAACCUACCUAUAAGACUGGGAUAACUUCGGGAAACCGGGGCUAAUACCGGAUAAUAUAUUGAACCGCAUGGUUCAAUAGUGAAAGACGGUUUUGCUGUCACUUAUAGAUGGAUCCGCGCCGCAGUAGCUAGUUGGUAAGGUAAGGGCUUACCAAGGCAACGAUGCGUAGCCGACCUGAUAGGGUGAUCGGCCACAAUGGAACUGAGACACGGUCGAGACUACUACGGGAGGCAGCAGUAGGGAAUCUUCCGCCAUGGGCGAAAGACUGACGGAGCAACGCCGCGUGAGUGAUGAAGGUCUUCGGAUCGUAAAACUCUGUUAUUAGGGAAGAACAAAUGUGUAAGUAACUAUGCACGUCUUGACGGUACCUAGUCAGAAAGCCCCGGCUAACUACGUG
rnacentral:rRNA from 1 species